rnacentral:rRNA from 1 species
CCUACGUGAGGCAGCAGUCGAGAAUCAUUCACAAUGGGGGAAACCCUGAUGGUGCGACGCCGCGUGGGGGAAUGAAGGUCUUCGGAUUGUAAACCCCUGUCAUGAGGGAGCAAAUUAAAAAGAUAGUACCACAAGAGGAAGAGACGGCUAACUCUGUGCCAGCAGCCGCGGUAAUACAGAGGUCUCAAGCGUUGUUCGGAAUCACUGGGCGUAAAGCGUGGGUAGGCUGUUUCGUAAGUCGUGUGUGAAAGGCGCGGGCUCAACCCGCGGACGGCACAUGAUACUGCGAGACUAGAGUACUGGAGAGGGAGCCGGAAUACUGGGUGUAGCAGUGAAAUGCGUAGAUAUCGAGGGGAACACUCGUGGCGAAGGCGGGUUACUGGACAUUAACUGACGCUGAGGCACGAGGGCCAGGGGAGCGAAAGGGAUUAGAUACCCCGGUAGUC